GUUUUAGCAAAAGAAAUUAUAUCUCGAAAUGUGGAAGUGGAAUCAUUUAAUUAUAUUAUUUUUUAUAGUGCCAGCCAGGCAAGGACUAGAAAAUAAAACUUCUACCUUGGCUUCAAAGUUGCUAAAGGAAUUACCCGAUUUGGAAAGAAACAGCUCCACCAAAGCUAAGAGUAUGCAUGACAAUGGAUUGCGCUUUCGAGCUCCACCCGCUGUAAAGUAUGUGUACUAUCCUUACCCCUACCCAAUGCAACCGUAUCCUCAAUAUCCACCUCACGGAUAUUAUCCACCACAAGGAUACUAUCCACCAAACGGAUAUUAUCCACCCACCGGAAGGUAUCCACCAAAAGGAAGUCCAUACCCAUAUCCAUAUCCUCCUUCAUCCGGGGGAAAAUCUGCACCGGUGAAUUUAAAUAUUCUUAAUGCAAAACACAAAGUAAGAUCUCCUGCCGGAUUACCUGAACCGCCAGUUGCACCGGUGGCUCCAUCUCCAGGCUUUGGAGCGCAGAAUCAAAAUGUAAUUACUAUAGUUAUAGGAAAAGAUCCAAAGUGAAGGCUAUAAUUAAAACUUGAGAAAUAAAAAUGCUAGCCAAAAAAUG